rnacentral:rRNA from 1 species
AGUGAACGCUGGCGGUAGGCCUAACACAUGCAAGUCGAACGGCAGCACAGUAAGAUCUUGCUCUUACGGGUGGCGAGUGGCGGACGGGUGAGGAAUACAUCGGAAUCUACUUUUUCGUGGGGGAUAACGUAGGGAAACUUACGCUAAUACCGCAUACGACCUACGGGUGAAAGCAGUGGAUCUUCGGACCUUUCGCGAUUGAAUGAGCCGAUGUCGGAUUAGCUAGUUGGCGGGGUAAAGGCCCACCAAGGCGACGAUCCGUAGCUGGUCUGAGAGGAUGAUCAGCCACACUGGAACUGAGACACGGUCCAGACUCCUACGGGAGGCAGCAGUGGGGAAUAUUGGACAAUGGGCGCAAGCCUGAUCCAGCCAUACCGCGUGAGUGAAGAAGGCCUUCGGGUUGUAAAGCCCUUUUGUUGGGAAAGAAAAGCAGCAGGUUAAUACCCCGCUGUUCUGACGGUACCCAAAGAAUAAGCACCGGCUAACUUCGUG